CAGCAGCCGCGGUAAUACAGAGGGUGCAAGCGUUAAUCGGAUUUACUGGGCGUAAAGCGUGCGUAGGCGGCUUUUUAAGUCGGAUGUGAAAUCCCUGAGCUUAACUUAGGAAUUGCAUUCGAUACUGGGAAGCUAGAGUAUGGGAGAGGAUGGUAGAAUUCCAGGUGUAGCGGUGAAAUGCGUAGAGAUCUGGAGGAAUACCGAUGGCGAAGGCAGCCAUCUGGCCUAAUACUGACGCUGAGGUACGAAAGCAUGGGGAGCAAACAGGAUUAGAUACCCCUGUAGUCCCUGUCUCUUAUAC
rnacentral:rRNA from 1 species